AGCAGAGGAUUGACAGGGGCACUUGUGUGGACUCUACAAAUUGGGAUUAUCCAUGGAGUUGGUGUUUUUUUUUGUUACGAAAUAAAGGUGGUUAGCCGACCGUACUAAGACGUUUAUCAGCGUAACGCUCCGAGGUGGUGAAUGACCUGGACACACGAAGAGGCUGAGCACCGGUAAUCAAAUAGGGGGGAAUCACUGAGGUGGAAUCCUUGGACCUUGUACAUCCCCAACUUGGCGCAGCCAACAGACAAGGGUCCAGAAGGAGGCUUAGAGGAUGAGGCCACGUGGCCCAGCAGGGAUUAUGAGCAACAAGUAGAAGCUCCGAACACAAGUCCACGGGCCAGGAGUCCAAGCUCUCCGCACGGGCGCCGGACUAGGACCCCUGAAAAGACUUUCUGCACUUUCCAUGACCUCCUGGAUUUCCAGCGGUGUCUGCGCCCGGUCUCCACACUAAUGACAACCUUGGGCAUGAGAACCACUUAAACCAUGCUUUUAAGGUCCAGACUCUUCUUCAUUUUGUGUCUCCUGACCCACCAAGCCAGCCAAUUCAAAGAGUUCCAGCAUCCUGGCUUACCUGGACUCAGGGAUGUUAAGUUCCGUCAUUUUCUACAAUCCUCCAGACAAGUGAGACAUAAAACAGACGUCCACCUGGACGGACAUGGAGCUCGAGCCAAGAGGUCAGCGGCGGUCCUCACCACGGGGGUCAAGGUCUGUCCCCAGGAGACCAUGAAAGCUGUCAUCGGCAGCCACCGGGCCUACUUCAAGCUCCGAGUCUGUCAGGAGGCCAUUUGGGAGGCGUUCCGCAUCUUUCUGGACCGGGUUCCGAGCUCCGAGGAGUACAGGGUCUGGGUGUACGCCUGCCAGCAUGAGAACCUGUGCAUGGACGACCUGGCCCAGAACUUCAGCAGCUCGCAGGAGCACCUUGACAUGGUUGCCAAGCGGGUGGAGGAACAAGCUGAAAUUGAAGGGCCUCUUGAAGGAACUGCCGAGCCAGGAAGAGACUGCACCUGGACUCCGCCGGUGAUUCUGAUCCCAACGGAGAGCGACGUGACUAAAGUGGAUCCCAACAUGAUAAAGGAGAACUACCAGGAGUACAUAGUUGAGUUUAGCGUCACCGUCGCGGAUCCUUCGUACAGCGAGCUCCUGAGUGAUCCCACGGCUCCUGAGUUUAAUGACAUCUCCAGAGAGAUAACAGAAAAGAUGACUCAUGUAUUUAAAAAAGUUCCAGGAUUCAAAGAAAUCCGCGUCCUUGGGUUUAGAAUGGAAGACGUAUCGAUGCGCUAUGCUGUGAUUUUCAAUGGCGACACUGAACUGAGUGACGACCCUGGCAUGAGCGCGAUGGCGGCCGAAGAAAGCGACGAUGUCAACGCUCCCAAACUGAAGGAGAUCAUAGUGAAAGCCUUAAAAGAGGAGCCUUUACUCCCAAUCGACUUACAGACACUGAACUUCGAGUCUGUCACGACAGUGCAUCCGGUGGCAGAGCUCUCAGUGAAGCCUAUCGACGGUGUCAUCUCAGGCGACGGUGUCACAGAGGCCGUGAUGGAGAGCAGCGCACCAACCCACCAGAGUUUCUUUCCCACCGUCGCGGUGGAAGAGCACUCCUCAGCGGAGUCUGAAUCACACACCUCUGUGCCUUACGUCCCGUAUGGGUUGACUUCUACUGUUGCACAUGAGAGCACACGAGUGGGAGAAGGAGAUGAGGAGCCAAGCGACGCUUCAACACCAGACCCGCCCGUGGAAUCCAUUACAGCGCAGGAAGAAGAAGCUCAGCCGAAGUUUGAGGAAGCGGCUGAAACGAAUGAAGUUGUCGAGGAAAUGCCAGAAGAGUCGGCCAUUGAAGAAGCUGAGCCUGCGGAUGUGGAAGUACUCGUAGACCAUCCAGUCGAAACACCAGCCCCGCAACCUGAUCUACCACCCACCACAGUCGAGGCAGUCCUGCCAGACACCACAGCUACCACGACAACAGAAGAAGUGUUAGUCACGGAAAUGGCCUCAACCGAAUCAUUUAUCGGGAACGUGAUUCACGAGACGGAACCAAGCGAGGAACCCAAGCCUGCGCCUACUGCGAGCACGGAACCCCCUGAAAUCAACAGCGCUACGAGCGGAGCGCCGAGUGGUGCAACCCCGAGCUCAACCGAUCCCUCUCUUCGGAAUUUUCAAGAGGACGUCGAGGCCAUUCAAAUAGGAGCAGGGAUAGAGGUGGAGCAGCCGCUGGAGGAGGAAGUCGGGAGCGGGGUGCCGUUGGAGUACGACGAAGGAAUGUAUGGAUCGACGGCAGCACCGGCGAUAAGACAAGCGAGCACUCCUCUGACGGCAGCUUUGGAAAAGAACAAGGAAUUGGUGGUUUUCUUUAGCUUGAGGGUCACUAACAUGAUAUUCUCAGAUGACCUUUUCAACAAGAGCUCGCCAGAGUAUAAAUCACUGGAGAAUACCUUUCUGGAGCUGACACAGCACUCUGGGCCCAAAACGCCGCCAAACCCUGGAGCUUCCAGAAAGUAUGAGCCUAAGAGACAGAAGAUUUUAGCCUCCAUACCGCUUCUUCCGUACCUGCAGUCGAAUCUGACCGGAUUCAAGCAGCUGGAGAUCCUCAACUUCAGGAACGGCAGCGUCGUGGUGAACAGCAAGAUGAAGCUGGACAAGCCUGUGCCGUACAACGUGACCCAGGCGGUCCAGUGCGUCCUGGAGGACUUCUGCAGCGCCGCGGCCAAAAGAUUGGACAUUGAGAUCGACAGCCGCUCCUUGGAAAUAGAACCAGCGGACCAAGCCGACCCCUGCAAGUUCCUGUCUUGCAACGAGUUUUCCCGCUGCGUGAUCAACAGUUGGACGAACGAGGCCGAGUGUUUGUGCGACCCGGGCUACAGCACCGUGGACGGUCUGCCGUGUCAGAGCACAUGCGAUUUGCAGCCGGAUUACUGCCUCAACGGAGGCCUGUGCGAGAUCAUUCCGGGCCACGGAGCGACUUGCAGAUGCCCUGUUGGCCAGUACUGGCACUACCACGGUGAACGUUGCAAUGAGCAGGUGUCCCUUCCUCUUGACCUUUCCACAAUCAUUACCUGCCUCGUGGGAAGCGUUUGCCUCAUCGCCGCCAUCAUCGGCGUUUUAAUAUUUGUCAACAAGAAGUGUUUAAAGCCGAGGAAGGCUGUCACUCUGGUGCACAGCCCCUCCCCCUAUGUGUUUGAGAAUACGCUAAGAGUAAACCCAGUGUUCGAGAACGACGAAGACGCCUUAACGCAAGUGUCCACGCUGCCAUGUGCCCCGAGUGUGGAACUUAUGCAACAUUCUGAGCAGGAACCUUACGCUUCGAUUGAAAAUAUACAUCUGAGUAUCGAGAUCCCCCGACAACUCUACACAACCAGAUCCGAAAAGUUAGUCUCAGAGAUGGUGGACUUUCAUCACUGCAUACCACACAACGAGGUGAGUCCAACCUGUCGGGUGUUUUUUAUUGAAGAGUUGAUCUUAAAAGUUUUAUGAUGUUUUUCUUUUGGAGGAACCCUGAGUGACCAAAUGAAACCAAAGCUGUGUUUCACCUGGUCAAUUCAAGAAAAAAAAGAAAAGAAAAAGCCAUUUUUUUUCUUCACUUUGGAAAAUGUUGAAGAAAAAACACAUAAUUUCAAUAGAAAUGUGCUUUUAUUCUUAGAGUUUUUAAGCAAGACGUGCCUUACAAAAGUGUUCAACCAUGUUUCCAAUUGAUAUUUUACAGCUCUAUGACGCACUGAAAGACGUGGCGUCCAUCAAAUGAAUACAGAAGCUGUCGCGUCGUAAGGACGUCGGACAGCGAGCGUUUUGAGGUGACCGUCGUUUGAGAACCGACCACACCCAACGACUGCUUUUGUUUCGCAACGACAAACAACCUUGUGCUACACGGAUGUAGACCAGAGAGAAGUCGAUGUUCAUAGUGAUGCAAUUGUCUUGUUAGACAGAGAACUAUGGAUGUUUUAGGUUGUUUUAAAUCAGAACCUUAUAUUUAUUGUCGACAGUAAGGACAGUUCCUGUAUAGCCUUGGCAAAAGGUUGUUCUUUCCUCACAAUGAGGUAUUUAUUAUUUACAGUUGGACACUCCAGACGGCGUCCUCACACCUUUAGAUUGUGUUGUUGGAGGUCAUUUUGUUCCAAAAGAGAGACUGAAUGUAAACGCUGGCUACAAACGGACGUUAGAAUUAGCCACUGUGCUUUUUCCUCUUGACCUUUGGAAGACUUUUUUUAUGAUAUAUUUUACAUUUAAAAGCAAACAAUAAAAAGAAAUUUGUCAUCA